UACGUAGGGUGCAAGCGUUGUCCGGAAUUAUUGGGCGUAAAGAGCUCGUAGGCGGUUUGUCGCGUCUGCUGUGAAAACGCGAGGCUCAACCUCGCGCCUGCAGUGGGUACGGGCAGACUAGAGUGCGGUAGGGGACCACGGAAUUCCUGGUGUAGCGGUGAAAUGCGCAGAUAUCAGGAGGAACACCGAUGGCGAAGGCAGGUCUCUGGGCCACUACUGACGCUGAGAAGCGAAAGCAUGGGGAGCGAACAGG
rnacentral:rRNA from 1 species